rnacentral:rRNA from 1 species
AGAGUUUGAUCCUGGCUCAGAUUGAACGCUGGCGGCAUGCCUUACACAUGCAAGUCGAACGGUAACAGGUCUUCGGAUGCUGACGAGUGGCGAACGGGUGAGUAAUGCAUCGGAACGUGCCCAGUCGUGGGGGAUAACUGCUCGAAAGAGCAGCUAAUACCGCAUACGACCUGAGGGUGAAAGCGGGGGACCGUAAGGCCUCGCGCGAUUGGAGCGGCCGAUGUCAGAUUAGGUAGUUGGUGGGGUAAAGGCUCACCAAGCCAACGAUCUGUAGCUGGUCUGAGAGGACGACCAGCCACACUGGGACUGAGACACGGCCCAGACUCCUACGGGAGGCAGCAGUGGGGAAUUUUGGACAAUGGGCGCAAGCCUGAUCCAGCCAUGCCGCGUGCGGGAAGAAGGCCUUCGGGUUGUAAACCGCUUUUGUCAGGGAAGAAAAGGCUCCUGCUAAUACCGGGGGCUCAUGACGGUACCUGAAGAAUAAGCACCGGCUAACUACGUGCCAGCAGCCGCGGUAAUACGUAGGGUGCAAGCGUUAAUCGGAAUUACUGGGCGUAAAGCGUGCGCAGGCGGUUAUGCAAGACAGAGGU